GUCUAAAAUGCAAACUCACUGUUACAGACACACAGCCCAUCCACAGAGAGAGAGAGAGAGUUUGCCAUUUUUGUGUCCUCUGCCCUCACGCACCCACACAGUGACCGUUCUUUUCUGUCUGUCCAACCUCCACAAAGCUGGAAACGGAGUGACUGUUCAUGAUUAUGAACGCCAACUCCUCCUCUUCAACUUCAACUUCGACAGCAGGAGCAGGAGCAGAAACAGGUGCGAAUCCUGCUGGUCCUUCUCAAUCAAUGGCUACACCUACAUCAUCAUCAACACCACCAGCUACAGGUACAGGUACAGGUACAACAGCAGCAGCUAGCAGCGAUGGGUCAGGCAAGAAAGUUAGAAAACCUUAUACAAUCACCAAGUCUCGUGAGAGUUGGACUGAAGAAGAGCAUGACAAGUUCCUUGAAGCCCUUCAAUUGUUUGAUCGUGACUGGAAAAAGAUUGAAGAUUUUGUGGGUUCAAAGACGGUGAUCCAGAUUCGGAGUCAUGCCCAGAAAUACUUUUUGAAGGUCCAAAAGAAUGGUACAAGUGCGCAUGUUCCUCCUCCUCGCCCUAAACGCAAAGCCUCUCAUCCUUACCCACAGAAGGCGUCGAAAAAUGUUUUAGUGCCGCUCCCAGCAUCCAUGGCUUACGCUUCAUCGAUGAAUACCUUUGCACCAGGAUAUGCUCUAUGGGAUGAAACUUCAGUGUUAAUAAACUCCGCAACAAGCAAAAUCAUGCCAUCACAAGAUGAACUUCCAAAUCUUCACGGAGCUGAAGCUGAUAUUGGACCAAAGUGUGUAUCAAGUAGUAACAAUACUGUCAGUGGCCUUGGGACCUCAAGUAGAACAUUGCCAAGUGCUGAGAUGCCAAAACAAGGGAAGCAAGCGCCUGUGCUUCAUGGUAUACCAGAUUUUGCUGAAGUAUAUAGCUUCAUUGGAAGUGUCUUUGAUCCAGACACGAAAGGGCAUGUGGAAAAGCUACAGGAAAUGGACCCUAUAAAUUUUGAAACUGUUUUGUUGUUGAUGCGGAACCUUACUGUUAACUUGUCUAGCCCUGAUUUUGAGCCAUAUUUUACCUCCUUGGUUGAUUCAGAGGAAGGUUAUGUCAUCAUAUGAUGUCAAUACCAAAACAGUGGGAGUUUCUGCCCUGAAACAGACCAAUGAUAUAGCAUGUUGAACUACUUACAUUUUGCUGACUUUAACGUGGUGAUGUUGGCUGGAAUUCUUGCUGCAUCACUAAAAUCAAAUAAAUGUGUCUGCUUUAUCUUUCUGCACAUGCCUGGAAGUUCAUUCUGAGACAGGCUGUGGCAGCCACGCCAAGGGAGAGUUUAUGAUGGUAGAACAAAGUUUUCUACUGAUUUUCAAGGUCCAUGAACGGUGAACCUUGACGUCUACUGACCUGAAUAGCAAUGGCUGUUUCUAUAUAUUCUAUUGACGAUUUGGCCUCCAACCAAACAAGUGUGUAUAUCUUGUGAGACCUGUUCGGCCGUCCCUUGAGAUUAAUAUUAGCGGGGUACAUUUUGCCAAGGCCUUGUAACUAAAAGAGCUUGAACACACGAGGAAAAAGUACUUCCCUUCCCUUCAGACUUGUGAAGUAGGUUACUCUGUGUAUUAGAAUGAACCUCCAUUUGUUGACAAUAUACUGUGUUUUUGCUUCUGUAAUGUUUCAGCUAAGAAAUCGGAUUUCUUUCUCA